UAAAACGUAAAAAACAAUAACCGUAAAUUUUAGCAAUUAUGUUCAGUUAAAAGAAAAUAUAUUUCGUUUGAAAUUUACUUAGGAAAACACAAGUUGCUGGAUAUAUACGAGUAGGAUACGGUCAGAGACGCUGCAUGGGGACACGAAGACUGAAUAAUUUUUGUUCUCAAGUGUACGUGGUUGCAUGUAUACGUGCGUAUAUAUGUAUAAAUCGGGUAUAUUUGAUGUUUAUAAUUAUGAGGAUGAGAUCAUCAUUGGUCCUAUCACAAAACGAUAAAAUGUUAUAAAGUAUUAAAAGGUUAUCAACUGCGUACCCCUACGUACGUACAUGUAUUCUUCACUGACACUGAUUGUAAGAGCUCAUUCUUCUUCUUUUUUGAGUGGUGUGUGAUCGCAUCAUAUCUCCAGAAUAUUGGCCCGCUACGGGUCUAAUCCCUAAUUGUAACGAAUUAAUGGUUAUAUCCAUAAGUACAAUAGUAGUAAAACUAAAAUUCCUCACCCCCUGCGCUUUGAUGAUUUCCGCUCAUUAUACUUUGUGUUUGGUCUAAACUUACACAUUGUUUAUUCUCUUGCUAAAACAGUAGCCAAUCAAAGAGGCUUUACAAUCACUAUCUCGUGUGAAUUACUCUCUGAUAUCUAGAGUAAAAUGCAUUUUGUGUAGGAUUUGGUUUAAACUGUGAACGUUCAUAUAUAUAUAUAUAUAUUAUCGAAUAUUUCCC
rnacentral:lncRNA from 1 species